rnacentral:lncRNA from 1 species
AGGCUACCCCAGCCCACUUCUCCCUGCUUACUCCAGGAUGAGAGGAACAGUAGAGGUGGGGGUACAGCUGGGAACAGGGGCCAGGGCAGUGGUGGCUCUGGGGUAAGAUGCUGGGCUGAGGCUAAGGAUAGGUGGGAGCUGCCCAUGUGCAGUCAUCUUUGCCCAGUGACACCUCAGAGCUGUCAGGGCUAAGAACCUACAUAGGCAUUUGUGAGGCAGGCUAAGCAGGAUGCUGCAGCUCAGGGCUGGCCUUCCCUUUCUAACUGAUGAUCUGCCGGGGUCGCCCAUAGCCUGUCAUGCCAGCCUGCGAGGCUCCUCUGUUGCUGCCCAUUUGAAGGCCAAUGACGUGCUUCCCCUCCUGCAGUUGGCUGUCUGUGAAGUCCCUCUUAUGCUCCUGGGCUUUCCUAGAAGAAAAGGAACCAGGGUAAGGCUUGCUAGAACUUAGUGUUCUCCAACUGUUUCCUGAUCCCUGCUGCUUCCCUGUUCGACUCCCUUCCUUUCCUGUUUGUCUUCUCUUUUUUUCCCCUGAGUUUGGCUCCAGGAGUUAGGGAGCCUGGUGGAGCACACGCUGGCAAAAGGUAGGAAUGCAGAAGUAGGACCUCAUUUCCCCUAGUCCAACACCCUUACCUGGGACGUCCCUGGCUCUGCUACACCUGAUCUUUACCACAACUGACCAGCCCAAGCCACCCCAACCCCACAGAGAGACCCAGUGGACACAUACUUCAUAAACCAGUUGGGAUCUCCACGGUAGUUUCCAUCGUUUUUGGUCACAGCCAAACUGCCCAAAGCCAUUAGAGUCCUCUGCACUGCUGCCAUAUCCUUACCUAUGAGAAGAGUGGCCAGGGAGCUAAUUUCAGGACCAUAUAGGCAAUACCUGCCCAGCUUCAAAAAUGGUCCAACCAAGAGCAAGUGGCACCAAAUCAAGAGGGUUCAAGAGACCAUAUUCUAAACCCUAGUGAGUAUGGUGUGGUAUAUAUUUGAUAUUCUAGGAUCCAAAACAGGCCCUUGUACCCAGAAGGGAAAUGCUGUACCACCAAGCUGGUCCCCUUGCUAUGUGUUCUCUUGGCAUAUCCCAUUCCUGCUAUGAACACAUCAACAGAGCUGGUUGUGGCUUUUGAUAUUCCUUCUCCUUGACUGAUAAUCUUGCUCUCCACUCGCCCACUGGCUCCAGCCCUUUUUUCCUUAUACCUUCAUAGAGGUCAACAGUCUGGAACAUGUCAGUCUUGAUGACUCCAUAAUCUUCAGCUGCCUUCAAGAAUUGAGCCACCUGUUCCAUCUGCUUAAAGACCAUGGAGGGUGGGUUCUCAGGCACCUUCACUGGCUUCGAUCCCUCAGGAUACAGGCUGUUCACCAAUUUGCUCAGAAUCUGCCAGGUACAGAACACAACUGAACACUCAGCUCAGGGAGUCUGUCUCACAGUUUGUAGGGUGGCAUACACAUCCCUAGAUUCCCUUCGCAAGGGUUACUCACCACACCAUUCUUCAGCCACACCUGGAAGCCCAGGCGCCCACGAUCUGGGCGGCCUACAUCAGGGCCACACUGCACUACAAUCCACUCCACUAGUCGCUCCUCCAGCUCCUCGUCAUACUUCUUCUCAAUUUUGGACUGCACUUCUCGGCUCAUGCCGUAGGAUGGACCCUUGUUGGCCAUGUUGAGGCAGAGCUAAAGUAUAGAGUGUGGAGAAAAGAACAAAGAGCCAGCAAGUUACUUUACUUCAUUUGUGCUAAGCAGGCCUUCCACUCUGAGGGACCCUAGACAUCAUAGCAUGACCUAGACCAGCUUUACCCACUUGCUGCAGAGACCCCUCUGAACUUGAACCUCAGAAAACAAGGUCUUAGAUAUUUGUCAGUCUAGAGCAAGAGUCUGUCAACUUUUUAUGUAAAACAGCAGAGUAAAUAUUUUAGACUUUACAGACCAUAUGGCCUCUAUUGUAUGAAAAUAGCCUAGCUGAUACAUAACCAAUGUGUGCCAAUAAAAUUUUGUUUAUAAAAACAGACAUCAGGCUGCCUUUGGCCUGUGGACUAUUUUGACAACCCCUGGCCUAGAGCCAACCUCCUGUCCCUCAUUGCUUGCUUCUUUCUGCAGUACUGGUGGAGCCCAGGGCUUCACAUAGAAAGGGAAGUAUGCAUUGCUAAGCUUUGUCCUCGGCCUUCUCUUUGUUUUAUAGUUUGUGUUUUUGUUGGGUUUUCCUCCCCCACACCCCCAGAAAGGGUUGCACUGUCUGGCCUCUGCUGUUGUAGAACUUUCCUGUAGACUGGCCUCCAACUAACAGAGAUCUUGCCUGCUUCAGCCUCCUGAGUGCUGGGAUUAAAGGCGUGCUUCAACAG